rnacentral:rRNA from 1 species
AUUGAACGCUGGCGGCAUGCCUUACACAUGCAAGUCGAACGGCAGCACGGGUGCUUGCACCUGGUGGCGAGUGGCGAACGGGUGAGUAAUAUAUCGGAACGUACCUUAUUGUGGGGGAUAACGCAGCGAAAGCUGUGCUAAUACCGCAUAAUCCCUAAGGGGGAAAGCGGGGGACCGUAAGGCCUCGCGCAAUUAGAGCGGCCGAUACCUGAUUAGCUAGUUGGUGAGGUAAAGGCUCACCAAGGCAACGAUCAGUAGCUGGUCUGAGAGGACGAGCAGCCACACUGGGACUGAGACACGGCCCAGACUCCUACGGGAGGCAGCAGUGGGGAAUUUUGGACAAUGGGGGCAACCCUGAUCCAGCAAUGCCGCGUGAGUGAAGAAGGCCUUCGGGUUGUAAGGCUCUUUUGUCAGGGAAGAAACAGCAGCUCUAACACAGUAUGCGAAUGACGGUACCUGAAGAAUAAGCACCGGCUAACUACGUGCCAGCAGCCGCGGUAA